UCCUGCUUGGACAGGAGCCGAUAAUGUUACUCUCUCCUGUCGCUGCCGGUCUCUCUCUCUUGCUUCACCACUCACUUCCCACAUACACACUCACUCU